rnacentral:rRNA from 1 species
CGCCUCGAGCUAAGAUUCAAGGUCGUGCCUGCCCGGUGAUUACUUAAACGGCUGCCGUAAUUGGUGCAAAGGUAGCAAAAUCUAUUGCCCCUUAAUUGGGGGCGUGUGAAUGGUUUGACGUGGGGCUGCCUGUCUCAGGUGGAAAAAAAGAAAUUUACCUCUAGGUGCAAAGGCCUAGAUAGCAGGGUUGGACGAGAAGACCCUGGGAGCUUCACCGGAAGGUUUGGUUGGGGCAACCCGGGAUAAACAUCCUGUUUAACCGAUAGGAGAUCCCCUAAGGGGGAAAUUGGAAAAAGCUACCCCAGGGAUAACAGCGCUAUCCCCCCUGAGAGUUCUUAUCGACGGGGGGGCUUGCGACCUCGAUGUUGAAUUAGGGUAUCUCUAAGGCGUAGAGGCUUUAGAAGUUGGUCUGUUCGACCAUUAAAACCCU